UUUCCGUAGGCGAACCUGCGGAAGGAUCAUUAUUGUAUAACCGAGGUGCGAGGGCUGUCGCUGACCCGAAAGGUCGUGCACGCCCGAGUGCCCUCACACACAUCCAUCUCACCCCUAUGUGCACCACCGCGUGGGUCCCCCUUUGGCUUGUUCGGAGGGGGGCUUACGUUUUCACACAAACUUUGUAUGCAGUGUAGAAUGUAUUUUUUGUUUUUGCGAUCACGCAAUCAAUACAACUUUCAACAACGGAUCUCUUGGCUCUCGCAUCGAUGAAAACGCAGC
rnacentral:misc_RNA from 1 species